CACAGAGGUGGCAAGCGUUGUUCGGAAUUACUGGGCGUAAAGGGCGCGUAGGCGGCUUGCCAAGUCAGGGGUGAAAUCCUGCAGCUUAACUGUAGAAGGGCCUUUGAUACUGGCGAGCUCGAGGGAGGUAGGGGUAUGUGGAACUUCCGGUGGAGCGGUGAAAUGCGUUGAUAUCGGAAGGAACGCCGGUGGCGAAAGCGACGUACUGGACCUCUUCUGACGCUGAGGCGCGAAAGCUAGGGGAGCAAACGGG
rnacentral:rRNA from 1 species